rnacentral:rRNA from 1 species
GUGGGGAAUCUUGCGCAAUGGGCGAAAGCCUGACGCAGCCAUGCCGCGUGAAUGAUGAAGGUCUUAGGAUUGUAAAAUUCUUUCACCGGGGACGAUAAUGACGGUACCCGGAGAAGAAGCCCCGGCUAACUUCGUGCCAGCAGCCGCGGUAAUACGAAGGGGGCUAGCGUUGCUCGGAAUUACUGGGCGUAAAGGGCGCGUAGGCGGACAGUUUAGUCAGAGGUGAAAGCCAAGGGCUCAACCUUGGAAUUGCCUUUGAUACUGGCUGUCUUGAGUACGGGAGAGGUGAGUGGAACUCCGAGUGUAGAGGUGAAAUUCGUAGAUAUUCGGAAGAACACCAGUGGCGAAGGCGACUCACUGGCCCGUUACUGACGCUGAGGCGCGAAAGCGUGGGGAGCAAACAGGAUUAGAUACCCUUGUAGUCC